GAUGAACGCUGGCGGCGUGCCUAAUACAUGCAAGUCGAGCGAACAGACGAGGAGCUUGCUCCUCUGACGUUAGCGGCGGACGGGUGAGUAACACGUGGAUAACCUACCUAUAAGAUUGGGAUAACUUCGGGAAACCGGAGCUAAUACCGGAUAAUAUAUUGAACCGCAUGGUUCAAUAGUGAAAGACGGCUUUGCUGUCACUUAUAGAUGGAUCCGCGCCGCAUUAGCUAGUUGGUAAGGUAACGGCUUACCAAGGCAACGAUGCGUAGCCGACCUGAGAGGGUGAUCGGCCACACUGGAACUGAGACACGGUCCAGACUCCUACGGGAGGCAGCAGUAGGGAAUCUUCCGCAAUGGGCGAAAGCCUGACGGAGCAACGCCGCGUGAGUGAUGAAGGUCUUCGGAUCGUAAAACUCUGUUAUUAGGGAAGAACAAAUGUGUAAGUAACUAUGCACGUCUUGACGGUACCUAAUCAGAAAGCCACGGCUAACUACGUG
rnacentral:rRNA from 1 species